ACCCAUCAUCGCAUCUAUUCACUCAUUCAUACAUGUCAGUUAGCUAGAACACUGGUGAUAUAGAAAACCAUGCACAUCUUUCUGCUUGGGUGUGCAAGAUGCAUUGGCAACAAUGCUACGGUUGGCACAUGCAUGCAUUUACGUAUGAUGCGUGAAGCUUUGAUAGAUGGAUCAGGAUGUGCAAAGGCAGCGGGAUACCAAGGGCGUGUCGUGUUUGGGGACUAUUGCCAGGUUCCCUAGCCACACGAGACGCUCGCCAGCCAGCCUGUUGGCUCUCCCUCUCUCUCUCGGCAGCAAGGAGAACUUUGCUAGCACGGGACACAAGAUAGGUGAACACAAAAUCCAAACGACCUGCUCGGUCCAUUUUUUUUUAAUUAUUGUAGCAGGAUCCGGCAAAAGUCCCGAAUGAACAGCUGGCAGCAGCGUUUCGAUCGAGUUGAUCUGCUUGCGGGUGUUCAAAGAGCACAUGGCUGGUGGUUUUGGGUAUAUCUUCAAUAAUGUGCCAUUUGCGAUGUAAUUAUUCCGUUCAUUUUGUCGGCAAGAAAUAAAGGCUCCACCGGCUGUUAUAAU